CAGGACUCAGAGUUGAAGCAACCUUUAACUGAUGAUCAAAUGUUCUCUGUGUAAAAACUGAAAACAUCCUUUCUUCAGGAGCAGUGAUUCUGUGUUGGACAGGAAACCUUGUUGAACAGUGGCCUACAGCACAAAGACGUUUUCCAUCGAGGUCGAGGAGAGGUGAAUAGCAGAGGAGUUUUGAAGUAUUCAACCACUGCCCUGAGUUUGUCGAACGCAAGUGAGGCUGGAGGCUGAUCACACUUGUGAAGAAGGUGUCACCACUUGGUUGUCGACUGCAGAGAGUCCUCGUACCAUAAAGAUGUUGUUUGAGACAGAGUUUAGAUUUUCAGCUGCUGUCGUCUUCUCCUGCAGAGACAAAAGACGUUAAUAACAAAAACUGUCCUGAGCUUAAAGGCCUACACAAAUUUAUUGUUAUUUAAUACUAUGACAUUUUUUUUGACAUUUUUUGAUGUUUUUAGACCAUUUUUGACACCUUACUAUACUAUGACUUUUUUUUUUAUUUUUAUUUUUUUACAUUUUUUGAUACCUUACUAUAUUAUGACAUUUUUGGACAUUUUUUGACACCUUACUAUACUAUGACAUUUUUGACCAUUUUUGACAGUUUUUGACGCCAUACUGUACUAUGACAUUUUUUGAUCGUUU